AGUUGGACUAAUACCUUAUGUAUUCGUUUGUAUCUCAUGAGAUUACGAAUAAAGAUUUAUCGGUUAUGGAUGGGGAUGCGUCUGAUUAGCUUGUUGGCGGGGUAACGGCUCACCAAGGCAACGAUCAGUAGGGGUUCUGAGAGGAAGGUCCCCCACAUUGGAACUGAGACACGGUCCAAACUCCUACGGGAGGCAGCAGCC
rnacentral:rRNA from 1 species